UACGUAGGGGGCGAGCGUUGUCCGAAGUUACUGGGCGUAAAGCGCGCGUAGGCGGGGGGUUAAGUGAGAGGUGAAAGGCUGGGGCUCAACCUCAUGCAGUGCCUCUCAUACUGGCCUUCUUGAGGGCGGUAGGGAGAAGUGGAAUGGCUGGUGUAGCGGUGAAAUGCGUAGAUAUCAGUCGGAACACCGGUGGCGAAGGCGGCUUCUUGGGCCGUUCCUGACGCUGAGAAGCGAAAGCAUGGGGAGCGAACAGG
rnacentral:rRNA from 1 species